CUCGGCGCAGAAGAGUUUCAUUGAAGAGCGUCACAUACCCAGUGCCACAUAUCUUGUGCCGCAUCCACAGUUACUUAUGUCGGCGCCGAAGAGUUUCAUUGAAGAGCGUCACAUGCCCAGUGCCACAUAUCUUGUGCCGCAUCCACAGUUACUUAUGUCGGCGCCGAAGAGUUUCAUUGAAGAGCGUCACAUGCCCAGUGCCACAUAUCUUGUGCCGCAUCCACAGUUACUUAUGUCGGCGCCGAAGAGUUUCAUUGAAGAGCGUCACAUGCCCAGUGCCACAUAUCUUGUGC
rnacentral:lncRNA from 1 species